rnacentral:rRNA from 1 species
UACGUAGGGGGCAAGCGUUGUCCGGAUUUAUUGGGCGUAAAGAGCGUGUAGGCGGCCUGACAGGUCUGCUGUGAAAACUCGAGGCUCAACCUCGAGAUGUCGGCGGAAACCGUCUGGCUAGAGUCCGGAAGAGGAGAGUGGAAUUCCUGGUGUAGCGGUGAAAUGCGCAGAUAUCAGGAAGAACACCUAUGGCGAAGGCAGCUCUCUGGGACGGUACUGACGCUGAGACGCGUAAGCGUGGGGAGCGAACAGG